GAUGAACGCUGGCGGCGUGCUUAACACAUGCAAGUCGAACGGUGAAGCAGAGCUUGCUCUGUGGAUCAGUGGCGAACGGGUGAGUAACACGUGAGCAACCUGCCCCUGACUCUGGGAUAAGCGCUGGAAACGGCGUCUAAUACUGGAUAUGAGCUGCGACCGCAUGGUCAGCAGUUGGAAAGAUUGUUCGGUCUGGGAUGGGCUCACGGCCUAUCAGCUUGUUGGUGAGGUAAUGGCUCACCAAGGCGUCGACGGGUAGCCGGCCUGAGAGGGUGACCGGCCACACUGGGACUGAGACACGGCCCAGACUCCUACGGGAGGCAGCAGUGGGGAAUAUUGCACAAUGGGCGAAAGCCUGAUGCAGCAACGCCGCGUGAGGGAUGACGGCCUUCGGGUUGUAAACCUCUUUUAGCAGGGAAGAAGCGAAAGUGACGGUACCUGCAGAAAAAGCGCCGGCUAACUACGUG
rnacentral:rRNA from 1 species